UUUAAUACCCCUAAUUAGUAUCUAAACAUUCGAUGUGACACGUGCUAAAAAUAAGCAAAGGAAACCAAACGCCACCAAGGAAUCCAACUGUAGAGUAAAGUACGUUGCCUUCCUUGUCCGUAACCGCCUGUCCGUAACCGCUGUGACGACAAUGCCGCGUCAUGACGCGGUUUCGUCAAGUCAAUAGUCAUUGAGGCGUUGUCCCCAACUCCCC
rnacentral:lncRNA from 1 species